GCUCUACAACAACCCGUUGGCGCUCGACGGCUCUGCCUUCCUCGCCACUGGCUACGCGCUCAAACACCCGAAAAUGACCAAAGAACUGCUCGUCGCCUCCAUCGACUAUUUCGU
rnacentral:ribozyme from 1 species